UACGUAGGGGGCAAGCGUUGUCCGGAUUUAUUGGGCGUAAAGCGCUCGCAGGUGGUUCGUUGCGUCGUGCGUGAAAGACCCCGGCUCAACUGGGGAGGGUCGUGCGAUACGGGCGAACUGGAGGCCAGUAGGGGGAUGCGGAAUUCCGGGUGUAGUGGUGGAAUGCGUAGAGAUCCGGAGGAACACCAGCGGCGAAGGCGGCAUCCUGGACUGGUCCUGACACUCAGGAGCGAAAGCGUGGGGAGCGAUCCGGAUUAGAAACCCCCGUAGUCC
rnacentral:rRNA from 1 species